ACCAAGAGAAUGGCCAACGGGAGAAGUGCCGCGCGCUAUGCGGAUUGGUUGGCCAGCCAAACAAUAUCGUGAAUCGCGAAAUUUUCAUCAGCGCGGUGUCUUCCGGUUUUUCAAAUAGAGACUAAAAAUAUAAAAUUUCUUUAAGAAAUGCCCGGUAAGAGAUUUAUACUGACGAAGUAUAAAUUUUGAGCUAAAUAGGGUUAUGGUUCCGUGAAAUCUGCAAUAACUUGGCUAUACGCAGUACAUGAUCAAACUUUGCAUUCAUACUUAUCUAAGUUAUGAAAAAAAAGAAAGGAUACGACAGUUAUCUAGUGCCAUUUUUCGUCCAUUCACCCGCAUGCUAUCAGUAGCUGUAUUCUGUAACCUACGGAACGCCGUUUGAUCCAUUUUUUUAUAGACAGCUUUUGUCGCUAGCUGGUCGUUUAUGUAGCAAAUAAAUAGCUAACUAGCAUUGCCAUCUAACGGUAAAAAAUGACACUAAUAGAAGGGAUUUGAAUAGACCACGCCUUCAACGAAGGAGGAGUCCACUACAUACUGAAUUUAUCGAUCGAUUGUUAGGCCCAUUUCGAUCGCUACUGUACAGUCAAUGGCGGCGAAGCGCAUUGUAAGUUUGUAACUUGGAAGUGUAUGCAUGUGCGACUUGAUGUGGCGUUGCAUGUGGGGGGCCUCGUUGCCAGUACUCUUGAGUGAUGGUGACAUAUGGUAUCUUACUGACUUCUAUUGGUUUUAUUUGUGGAAAGAAUAUCUUGAGUGGAAAAAUUGGAUCACAAUUGACUACAUGUUUUACUAUUUUAAAUGAGUUUAUCACAAAGAAUUUUUUACUCAUUCAUGUUCUGUUUCUGUAAUGUAGGUAGAAUAAUCGCAAUGUCGUGGUAGUAAUUCAUGAGAGAUAUGCCAAUAGGGUUUCCCUAUUGACAUACGGAUACAGGCCUGUUUUCAAUUCACAAUCAUAAUGGAUUCAAAGAGGAUAUUGAUGGAGUUUUGGUAUAAAAAAGUACAUGCUCGUUGGAAGGGCAACCAAAGAGUUCCGGAUCCUUUUACUAUUGCACAUAUUAUGUGUGUGUAAAACUAAAGGCUAAAAGAAGAAGAAGAAUGAUUCAAAAAUUCUGGGAGAGAAUUAUCAAAGAAUUAUACUCGUUUAGCUCUUUUUACUGUGCAUGGAACUUUUUUGGUCGAGACCUUAUGGGUGUCUUAAAGGCACUGAAGGUUGCGUUAGAUGUCAUAAUCCACAACAAAAAGGAAACGCUGAAAAUCCCAGGUGACGAUGGGAGUUAGUGGCAAUGUUACGGUGUAGAUAACUUCAGAAAGUGUUACGCUAGCUGAUGUACACCGCCUAGCAGGAAAAGGUUGUGAGAGUAGCAGAAGAAGAGGAAAUUGCAGUAAACCUGCUUUUGAAAGAAGCCAAACAUUCCGAUGAUAUGGGAGCCCAGCCUGUGGAAACAAAAACCCUAUGUUUCAGAUAUUUCUUAAAUUUAUAUCGACAUCAGGAAAGACCAAAGGAACACGUCGUUCCUCAGCUACUUCUGAGGGCCACUGUCACCGAAAGAAAAUCACCUCGCUUAUAGACUCGGAAGGUGAAAGCGAGAUCCAAAAAUUUGCGACAACGAAGCAAGUAAAAAGUCCUCCACCGUCACAGACCACAAUGUGUAAAUGCGUCACAUCCGGGAAAUUAAUACUGCAGUAACCAGAGCGAUAAAAAAAUUGGCACCAACUCGUACAUAUCAGAUUUUGUCGCAACGCAUUCAAGAAUGGAGCUUAACAGCUUGCAGGACUGAAGAAAAUGAUAAAAAAGAAUUAGAACAAAUUUGUUGGAACAAAACAAACCACGGGAAGCUCAGGAAGAGCUGGAUCUUAAACAAAAGUGCUCAAAAGGAACUAGAUAACAACAGCAAAGGCUAAAAAAUUUGUGGUUGACAUAAACUUUCGCGAAGAAGCAGUUAAAGUAGGCGAAAGGGAAUCGAGUGCGCUACUGUCCCGUGCGUCACUUGCGGCAUCAGUAUUGCGGCCAGUAAGGCAUCCGACACAUGGGGGGAUGUUUCAACAAAUCUAACAAACGGGGUUCGAUUCAAUCUUUUAAACCAAGCAGUAAUAAGUUACGCGGCGGUUACAAUCCCAGUAACCAAAUACACUGGAGGCGACUUCGUGCAUUAAGUCCGUUGCAUUGCAAAAAUCUUGAUAAGAAAACUGAUGUAGGCUAUCGGUAUCCUGUAGUACGAGAAGUUUACCGGUAGGCAUCCAGCGGCUUCUUCGCGCGCGUAUGCCACAAAGAAUCAUCACAACAAUUUCGAAAUGGUUCAUCAGUUGCGCGUUUACGGCCUUGUUGUAGAGGUGUCCUAAGGUGAUGUUUGAAUUUAUUGUUAAUAGUUGAAGUUUUAAAAUCAUACUUUUAGGUCUUUGGGAUCUACUUGAUGUACUGUGGUGGCUGCAAAAUCAUUUAAUGACUUGGUUCAAUCCAGGACUUGUUUUUUUUUAUAGUGGUUUACAGUUUUAAUUUACAGAGAUCCUGGAGGCACCUGAUGUGUUUCAUUGGCGUUGGAGUCAAUCGGUUACAGAAGAGAAUGACACUAAUGUUAUGUUGUCAGUGUAAUUAAAACAUUUCCAGUAUCA